rnacentral:Y_RNA from 1 species
GGCUGGACCCAUGGUAGUGGGUUAUCAGAACUUAUUAACAUUAAAUAAAGUUGGUAUUCAACCCCCCACUACUAAAUUUGACUGGCUUUUA